UAAUCGAUUCCAUGCCACUGUAAAUAUGUCUAUUUAGAAAAAUACCAUUAUAAUUCAUAUAUCGGGUGGUACAAUUUUUUAAAAUCAGAUCCAUGCCACUACCAUGACUUUUCUUCCGUCGGACUCGUCACCACCUCCGGUAAGACGGCAGCUGCGGAGGCGAAGACGACGACGGAGCCGACGGCUCCAGCAGUGGGGUCGGUGACCGGCGGAAUGGGCGGGGGGCUUGGACAGGAGCACGAAGAGCGUCGUGAGCGCGGAUAUCCCGGCCGGCGAGGAGGAAGCUGACGACGAUGUCGCGAAGGAACUUGUCCUCCGCGGCGCCAUGCGCGUCUCCGGCCGAGGCCAUGAACCGGGACAGGAGGUCGUGGCUGCUCCCGACGCCCAGCUUCUGGUGCUCCUGGAUCAUCGCCGCCGCGAGCCCAUUGAUGAGCCUGAUGGCCUUCUUGAUCUCUGUCUCGGACCCGAUGUUAAGCAGGCGCUUCAUCUUCCACAGCAACGGCGACGCCGCGGCGCCCCGCAUGGCGAAGAGCCGCGAGGUGGUGUCGAACGCGUCGGCUAGCUAGCUCCGACACGGGCAUGUCCCGGUCGAGGCAGCCCGAGUCCAGGCGAAAGGAGAUCUUGCAGAUGGUGUCGAAGGCUGAGGUGGUGUCGAACGCGUUCGCUAGCUAGCUCCGACACGGGCAUGUCCCGGUCGAGGCAGCCCGAGUCCAGGCGAAAGGAGAUCUUGCAGAUGGUGUCGAAGGCGAACCUGUUGGGAUCGCUCCCUCUCUUCUGUAGUGUUUAUCACAAACACUCACGUAUUUUUUACUUGAGUCACACACACGAGUGAACAGAUGGCACAAGCUAGAAAUGCUUUUGGUUGAUGCAGC
rnacentral:lncRNA from 1 species